ACUACGGGAGGCAGCAGUGAGGAAUAUUGGUCAAUGGGCGCGAGCCUGAACCAGCCAAGUAGCGUGAAGGAUGACUGCCCUACGGGUUGUAAACUUCUUUUAUAAAGGAAUAAAGUGAGGCACGUGUGCCUUCUUGUAUUUACUUUAUGAAUAAGGAUCGGCUAACUCCGUUCCAGCACCCGCGGUAAUACGGGGGAUCCGAGCGUUAUCCGGAUUUAUUGGGUUUAAAGGGAGCGUAGAUGGGUUGUUAAGUCAGUUGUGAAAGUUUGCGGCUCAACCUGAAAAGUGCAAUUGAUACUGGCAGUCUUGAGUAUAGUUGAGGGAGGCGGAAUUCGUGGUGUAGCGGUGAAAUGCGUAGAUA
rnacentral:rRNA from 1 species